rnacentral:lncRNA from 1 species
CAAGAAUCAAUCCAUACAGGAUUAAGUUAAAAUAAUUGAAUUCAAAAAACAACUAUCCUCAGAAAAUGCAGGAGUUAACUACCACAACUAAUAUGUAGCUCCUAAAUCUGCAAUUCCAAAAUCUGUAGCUCCAAUAUUCUCUCUAACACCCUCCUACAAACGGAUGGGAAUGAGAGUUACCAUUAGUUUGUUACGCAGAAAAUGAAACCUAAGAGCUGUCUAUUCUUUUGUGAAAAUAUCAGCAAUCUGAUCUUGAGUAGAGACAUAUUUGACCUGAAUAUCGUUAUUAACCACUUUCUCUCGAACAAAAUGAUAGUCAAUCUCUGUGUGUUUAGUUCUAGCAUGAAAAACAGGACUAGAUGCUAAUGCUAUAGCACCAAUAUUAUCACACCAUAGCACAGGAGUAGAAGAAAGACAAAUGCCAAGUUCCAUGGACAACAUACGCAGCCAAUAUAAUUCAGCUGUAGCCACGGCCAUAGACCUAUAUUCAGCUUCAGUAGAACUUCUUGAAACCACAUUUUGCUUCUUUGCACUCCAACUUAUCAAGCUAGAGCCAAGGAAGAUACCAUAUCCACUAGUACUACGUCUAUCGUCUGGAUUUCCAGCCCAGUCAGAGUCACAAUAACCUGUAAGGUUGAUUGAAAAAGGGGUAUAAUAAAGAUCGUAGUCAAUAGAACCUUUUAGGUAUCUCAACACUCUCUUGGCUGCUAUGCAAUGAGGCUGAUGAGGAUUAUGCAUGAAUUGAUAGAGUUGGUUCACUGCAUAUAAGAUAUCAGUU